AUUGAACGCUGGCGGCAGGCUUAACACAUGCAAGUCGAGCGAUCGGCGUACUGGUGAGUACUGUCUUGGCAACUGCCUUCUGGAGGGGGAUAACUCCUUGAAACUGUAUCUAAUUCCGCAUACCAUCAGAUGUGCCCAGAUGGGAUUAGCUAGUAGGUGGGGUAAUGGCUCACCUAGGCGACGAUCCCUAGCUGGUCUGAGAGGAGGACCAGCCACACUGGAACGGAGACACGGUCCAGACUCCUACGGGAGGCAGCAGUGGGGAAGAUUGCACAAUGGGCGAAAGCCUGAUGCAGCCAUGCCGCGUGUGUGAAGAAGGCCUUCGGGUUGUAAAGCACUUUCAGCGAGGAGGCGUUACUCGCAGAAGAAGCACCGGCUAACUCCGUGCCAGCCGCCGCGGUAAUAC
rnacentral:rRNA from 1 species